rnacentral:rRNA from 1 species
UAUCUCUGUAGAGUCUGCAUAUCAAUAAGCGGAGGAAAAGAAACUAACUAGGAUUCCCUUAGUAACGGCGAGUGGAGCGGGAAGAGCUCAAAUUUGAAAUCUUCAAGGUUUUACCAUGACGAAUUGUAGUUUAAAGAAGUGUUUUCUGUUGGUGUUUUGGUAAAAGUUCUUUGGAAUAGGACAUCAUAGAGGGUGAGAAUCCCGUAUUUGACCAUUACUUCCAGCGUUGUGAUACACUUUCAAAGAGUCGGAUUGUUUGGGAAUGCAGUCCAAAAUGGGUGGUAAAUUUCAUCUAAAGCUAAAUAUUGGCGAGAGACCGAUAGCGAACAAGUACCGUGAGGGAAAGAUGAAAAGAACUUUGAAAAUAGAGUUAAACAGUACGUGAAAUUGUCAAAAGGGAAGCGUUUGACACCAGUGUUGUUUUCUCGAAAAUCAAUUAAAAAAAGUUGGAUUUUGUAUUGUUAAGACCUUAUCAGCUUACUGUACCUCUUUUCUUGCUUUUUUUAAUGCACCUUUCGUUUAACAAGUCAACAUCAAUUUCUUUUGUUGUAAAAGAGUCAUUCGGAAGGUGGCUUUCACUUUCGGUGAAAGUGUUUAUAGCCUAUGAGGCUUCUAGCAAUCGGAGAGAUUGAGGUCUGCAGCGUAGAUCCUUCGGGGUUAGAUACACGUAGAUGCUAAGUUAUAGCUUUUUCAUAGACAACUUGUUGACUAUAAUUUAAUCAUGUCGCUUACUCGCUUGUGCUAUUUUACCUACGCUUAGGAUGUUGAAGAUGUAGCACAUCAU